rnacentral:rRNA from 1 species
GGACGGUAACGCGGGGCAACCUGGCGACGAGUGGCGAACGGGUGAGUAAUACAUCGGAACGUGCCCAGUAGUGGGGGAUAGCCCGGCGAAAGCCGGAUUAAUACCGCAUACGACCUACGGGUGAAAGCGGGGGAUCGCAAGACCUCGCGCUAUUGGAGCGGCCGAUGUCAGAUUAGGUAGUUGGUGAGGUAAAGGCUCACCAAGCCUUCGAUCUGUAGCUGGUCUGAGAGGACGACCAGCCACACUGGGACUGAGACACGGCCCAGACUCCUACGGGAGGCAGCAGUGGGGAAUUUUGGACAAUGGGCGCAAGCCUGAUCCAGCCAUGCCGCGUGCGGGAAGAAGGCCUUCGGGUUGUAACCGCUUUUGUCAGGGAAGAAACGCUCUGGGCUAAUACCCCGGGGUAAUGACGGUACCUGAAGAAUAAGCACCGGCUAACUACGUGCCAGCAGCCGCGGUAAUACGUAGGGUGCAAGCGUUAAUCGGAAUUACUGGGCGUAAAGCGUGCGCAGGCGGUUAUGCAAGACAGAUGUGAAAUCCCCGGGCUUAACCUGGGAACUGCAUUUGUGACUGCAUAGCUAGAGUGCGGCAGAGGGGGAUGGAAUUCCGCGUGUAGCAGUGAAAUGCGUAGAUAUGCGGAGGAACACCGAUGGCGAAGGCAAUCCCCUGGGCCUGCACUGACGCUCAUGCACGAAAGCGUGGGGAGCAAACAGGAUUAGAUACCCUGGUAGUCCACGCCCUAAACGAUGUCAACUGGUUGUUGGAGGGGUUCCCUUUCAGUAACGAAGCUAACGCGUGAAGUUGACCGCCUGGGGAGUACGGCCGCAAGGUUGAAACACAAAGGAAUUGACGGGGACCCGCACAAGCGGUGGAUGAUGUGGUUUAAUUCGAUGCAACGCGAAAAACCUUACCUACCCUUGACAUGUCUGGAAUUCCGCAGAGAUGUGGAAGUGCUCGAAAGAGAACCAGAACACAGGUGCUGCAUGGCCGUCGUCAGCUCGUGUCGUGAGAUGUUGGGUUAAGUCCCGCAACGAGCGCAACCCUUGUCAUUAGUUGCUACGAAAGGGCACUCUAAUGAGACUGCCGGUGACAAACCGGAGGAAGGUGGGGAUGACGUCAGGUCCUCAUGGCCCUUAUGGGUAGGGCUACACACGUCAUACAAUGGCCGGUACAGAGGGCUGCCAACCCGCGAGGGGGAGCUAAUCCCAGAAAACCGGUCGUAGUCCGGAUAGCAGUCUGCAACUCGACUGCGUGAAGUCGGAAUCGCUAGUAAUCGCGGAUCAGCUUGCCGCGGUGAAUACGUUCCCGGGUCUUGUACACACCGCCCGUCACACCAUGGGAGCGGGUUCUGCCAGAAGUAGUUAGCCUAACCGUAAGGGGGGCGAUUACCACGACAGGGUUCGUGACUGGGGU